CUAAAAAGUAAAAAACUUCAACUGAAAAUGGAUUGAAUAGAAAUUCAGCGAGAAGCCUGCAACAAUGCAGGAAAUCAAACAUUGUUACAAUUGAGAAUUUACAGGCAGAAGAUAGAUAGUUUCAUCUGUAAAUUUGUCACAAAACUUUGACAACAAACCUAGCAAUUGAUUAUUCCCGGUCUGAUGAUGUUCAAUACUGCAGGAAAAGAAUCUAUUUCUUUUCCUUAUAUCAUAUAUUCACACAAGUUCAAGCCCAAUUUCAUUUUGAUGACCUGGGAUUAUAUUAGAAGUGGAGCUGGUUAGGAAUUUCUACAAUUUGUGUAAUAAUGUGUUAUGAAGAACUUGGGAUACCACAUUGGACUCCAUCUGGAAAUGAAAAUCUUUGAUUAAUACAUAGUCAAGAUGAUGAUCCUAGAUUAUUCACUUCCAUCUGGAAAUCAUCAAUUAUCCUGACUUAUGUCCUUCACCAGCACUUUCUCUUAGCCCCCUUAACGUAUAUUUCUUCUCUGGUUGUGAAUCAAACCAAUCUGCAAAUUGCUUAUUGUGCUGGUUGUAGUUGUCCUUCAGCUAAUCUGUUCCAAGGUUCAACAUUGUCUACGGUAGAAUCUAUUGACAAGGAGAUACCAGCAUGCAAUGAACUAGGGUACAUUAAUAUCAUACACUUAUUUUGUUUCAUAGACUAAUACCAUAUAUCAUAUCACCCCUGCCCCCACCUUCCCAAAUCAAACAUAAAUAAUCAAAGUUGCAGUGAAAACAUGUACUAAUUCCUUAGGUUCAAUACAACUACAGAGAAUACGGCACCGUGAUAUUAUCUAACUAAAUGUAACAACUGCAGAAAGUGUUAUUUUAAUAUAAUUGUCUCUCGCAUAAAUGCACUAUAAAGCUGUCCACUAACAAAUGUGAAAAUUUACCAAAUAAGUUAAGAUAUGGCAGUUUCCAGUCAGUCUCCAUUGAUUCUCAACAGCCUUCUGAAACACUAUGCAACCUUUAAAUGAUUCAUACAUCCAUUUUUUUCUCACAAUAUUUUGUUUGUUUUGUUCCAUUUGGGGUGAGCACGGGCAAAGGUGGACAAAAUCACAUUGAAUGUCAUAGCUCUCUAAUAAAUGAAUGUGCUGAAAUUAAAGGAGUAGAAACAUACUUUGAAUAAUUGUAAUGAUCACAGUAACAUUUCUUUAGAGAAGCCUGAAGUUCCAUGCUGCAGACACAGGCACAAGCAUCAUAAUAAUUUACCAGAAAACAAUGCUAAUAAAGGUCAAACAUGUAAAAUUUUAUAUAAAUGUAUAAUCCUACAAUUAUGUAUCCUUGUAUGCUAAUCCAAAUCUUAGAAGCCAUAUAUAAUUUGUGCCAGUCUCAGUUUUUCAGAAUCUAAUAAAUUUGAAUCUUGAAGCCUAACAAGGCUACCUAUUGAAUCUUUUUUCCGCACCCACAAUUCUCCACUAAGUUACAUAUGUCCAGACAUAUACCCAAAUGAUAAGAAGCUGAUCGUCUGUGUGUCAACAAAAAAGUUCCACAAUGGUAUGAAACCUGAGUUUAUUGUUCAACAAUUCACUAGGAUGGGCACAAGGACCAAGGCGCUAGUCAUAACAAGAUGAAAUCACCAAUAAAUGCAUAUCUUCAAAGUUCAAAUUAUGCUCUGCAACCACCAACUUCAUCUUGAUGAAACAGGACCAUAAUAGUUAGAACCAUAAAAUGACAUAAGGCGUUCAUAAUCGAUGUUUCUGCCAUACAAAGGCUGGGCAUGAAUCAGUCUGAAUUGAGCUGUCACUGGUCAAAGAUUUACUCAAAUAGCAUCAAGACAACAUAAGAAUAACUCAAGCCUGCCUCUUCAACAUGACCUCAGAAGAAAAAAUUGGGAUUUGAAUAGGCAGCUAGACUGAUUCCAACCAAAUCAUCAAUUACUAAUAUUAGUUGUGCUAAGUGAGAAACAAAGCCAUAGCCCUCCAUGUAUAACAAUUGCCCAAAAAUAAUUGAAUGCUUCAUUUUGUAUUGACAAAUACAAUCCGCCAAGUGAAUAGUCUGCUGAAACUAUGAAACAAAACUUGGAUACUGAUCCAUAAAAAGGUCUAAGAAGCCAUUACUUCCAUUGGUAGCAAGAAACCAUUACAGCACUGCACUCAGUCUGGAUCCUUUACAAGAAGCUGGUGUGUGAGUUAAUAGUGUUACAGCACAGAGUAUUUGGGAGCAUAGAUACACAUAAAGGUAUAUGAGGUUGCACCAUGCAUGGGCAUCAUAAAAGUAGGACAAACCAAUUUCCAGAUGUCAUUACCUGCAGAAAAUGUUU
rnacentral:lncRNA from 1 species